AUUGAACGCUGGCGGCAGGCCUAACACAUGCAAGUCGAGCGGAGCGGCGGACGGGUGAGUAAUGCCUAGGAAUCUGCCUGGUAGUGGGGGGUAACGUACGGAAACGGACCCUAAUACCACAUCCUAUCAGCUGCACCUAGGUGGGAAUAGCUAGUGGGUGGGGUAAAGGCCUAGCAAGGCGACGAUCCGUAACUGGUCUGAGAGGAUGAUCAGUCACACUGGAACUGAGAAACGGUCCAAACUCUUACGGGGGGAAGCAGUGGGGAAUAUUGGACAAUGGGCGAAAGCCUGACCCAGCCAUGCCGCGUGUUUGAAGAAGGUCUUCGGAUUGUAAAGCACUUUAAGUUGGGAGGCGGUACCAACAGAAUAAGCACCGGCUAACUUCGUGCCAGCAGCCGCGGUAAUUC
rnacentral:rRNA from 1 species